ACUGGCAGGCUAGAGUCUUGUAGAGGGGGGUAGAAUUCCAGGUGUAGCGGUGAAAUGCGUAGAGAUCUGGAGGAAUACCGGUGGCGAAGGCGGCCCCCUGGACAAAGACUGACGCUCAGGUGCGAAAGCGUGGGGAGCAAACAGGAUUAGAUACCCUGGUAGUCCACGCCGUAAACGAUGUCGAUUUGGAGGUUGUGCCCUUGAGGCGUGGCUUCCGGAGCUAACGCGUUAAAUCGACCGCCUGGGGAGUACGGCCGCAAGGUUAAAACUCAAAUGAAUUGACGGGGGCCCGCACAAGCGGUGGAGCAUGUGGUUUAAUUCGAUGCAACGCGAAGAACCUUACCUGGUCUUGACAUCCACAGAACUUUCCAGAGAUGGAUUGGUGCCUUCGGGAACUGUGAGACAGGUGCUGCAUGGCUGUCGUCAGCUCGUGUUGUGAAAUGUUGGGUUAAGUCCCGCAACGAGCGCAACCCUUAUCCUUUGUUGCCAGCGGUUAGGCCGGGAACUCAAAGGAGACUGCCAGUGAUAAACUGGAGGAAGGUGGGGAUGACGUCAAGUCAUCAUGGCCCUUACGACCAGGGCUACACACGUGCUACAAUGGCAUAUACAAAGAGAAGCGACCUCGCGAGAGCAAGCGGACCUCAUAAAGUAUGUCGUAGUCCGGAUUGGAGUCUGCAACUCGACUCCAUGAAGUCGGAAUCGCUAGUAAUCGUAGAUCAGAAUGCUACGGUGAAUACGUUCCCGGGCCUUGUACACACCGCCCGUCACACCAUGGGAGUGGGUUGCAAAAGAAGUAGGUAGCUUAACCUUCGGGAGGGCGCUUACCACUUUGUGAUUCAUGACUGGGGUGAAGUCGUAACAAGGUAACCGUAGGGGAACCUGCGGUUGGAUCACCUCCUUA
rnacentral:rRNA from 1 species